UUUUGAAAGUAUCCUGAAUGUAAUUGCUCAAGUUCUGAACCAACUUAUAGCUCAAGUUCUUACUAUCUUUCUGAAUUCAUUCCAAGGUUUACAUUGUGUUAUGUAUUUAUAGAUUCGCUGACUAGACGAGCAAGGUAACCAAGCGAGGAGAGACCUGUUGAUUUGGACUUGCAGGAGCAUGUCUCAUAUGGCUUCACUAUGGUGCCCACAUUAUCGGGAUUUUCGGAUUUCCUCUUUAUAUGUUAUUCAAUAGUCAAGCUGAUUGAAGUGUACUAUUGCAACUUGUAUGUAUGUGUUCACCAGUGCUGCAGUAGGUAAAUGAAUUUUAAUUGGCACACACAUUAGAAGAAAUUAAUGUGUUUCACGAUAAAAUAUGCUUUACAAGUGCAUGAGGAAGGACAUUUUCUUUGAACUUAUUGUUUGCAAAUUCUCAGAUAGGGAUUUAUUGCGGUUUUGAGUAUAUCAGCCAGUUUUCUGUCGUUUCCUUAGCCUGCCAUAUUCAGCACAGAGAAUGAAUGCUUAUAUCUACACCGUUAUUUCACACAAAACAAUUUUGAUUGUAGAUUGAUUAUUAGUGAGCUAGGCCAGUAUGACCUUUCGUAAACUGCAGGUAUAUAGAGCCAGGGGGAGAUAGGGAGGUUGCCAAAGAUGGACCUAGGGCGAGGAGACUCUUUAACUUCCAACGGAGCACAACCAUAUUAAAAGAUGGUGAUCAAUCCAUUGAGUGAGCUCACCCUGGGCUGGCUGUAGCAUCACUGUGGAGGAACCGAUGAUGGUCCCAUAAAAUACACUGGCAUAGUGUUUCAGGACAAACAGUAAGUUAUCGAACUGAGGAGCCACAAUAUCCCAACAAGUCUUUGGAAAACAGCAGUUAAAGCCAACAGGACCUGGAGCUUUGUCACUAGGUAUUUUCCAAGCAUUACUUACUGUUUCUUCAAAUCCUAGAUGUUGACCCAAAUAUUCUCAAUCUGAAAUGCUUUACUUCUGGGGAUUUUUUUUGUUCCGUGUCAGACUCGGUGCCAAAGAAAGAGUCGAUUCGAAGCCUGCCAUCUCUGAAUUCAUUAACAAAUAUUUACCUGGGACUGGUUAGCUGACCUGACUGUAAUUUAGAAAUGCCGAGAGCUUAGCCACGCAUCGAAAAGGGCAGGGUUGUGAUCUAAAAUAAUUAACUGGUUAUACAAUUUAUUUCUUAUGGUUCCUCACUAGGAGGCCUAAAAGGCAAGCAUAUGAUCACCUCAGGGC